rnacentral:rRNA from 1 species
UGUCGCUGAUGGAUGGACCCGCGGUGCAUUAGCUAGUUGGUGAGGUAACGGCUCACCAAGGCGACGAUGCAUAGCCGACCUGAGAGGGUGAUCGGCCACAUUGGGACUGAGACACGGCCCAAACUCCUACGGGAGGCAGCAGUAGGGAAUCUUCGGCAAUGGACGAAAGUCUGACCGAGCAACGCCGCGUGAGUGAAGAAGGUUUUCGGAUCGUAAAACUCUGUUGUUAGAGAAGAACAAGGAUGAGAGUAACUGUUCAUCCCUUGACGGUAUCUAACCAGAAAGCCACGGCUAACUACGUGCCAGCAGCCGCGGUAAUACGUAGGUGGCAAGCGUUGUCCGGAUUUAUUGGGCGUAAAGCGAGCGCAGGCGGUUUCUUAAGUCUGAUGUGAAAGCCCCCGGCUCAACCGGGGAGGGUCAUUGGAAACUGGGAGACCUGAGUGCAGAAGAGGAGAGUGGAAUUCCAUGUGUAGCGGUGAAAUGCGUAGAUAUAUGGAGGAACACCAGUGGCGAAGGCGGCUCUCUGGUCUGUAACUGACGCUGAGGCUCGAAAGCGUGGGGAGCAAACAGGAUUAGAUACCCUGGUAGUCCACGCCGU